rnacentral:rRNA from 1 species
UAUGUGAUCGUCUCUCGCAUAUCAAUAAGCGGAGGAAAAGAAACUAACGAGGAUUCCCCUAGUAACGGCGAGUGAAGCGGGAAGAGCUCAAAUUUGAAAUCUUAAAGGGUUUCCCUUUACGAAUUGUAGUUUAAAGAAGUGUUUUCUGUUGAGGUUUUGGUAAAAGUUCUUUGGAAUAGGACAUCAUAGAGGGUGAGAAUCCCGUAUUUGACCUUUACUUUCAACUUUGUGAUACACUUUCAAAGAGUCGGAUUGUUUGGGAAUGCAGUCCAAAAUGGGUGGUAAAUUUCAUCUAAAGCUAAAUAUUGGCGAGAGACCGAUAGCGAACAAGUACCGUGAGGGAAAGAUGAAAAGAACUUUGAAAAGAGAGUUAAACAGUACGUGAAAUUGUCAAAAGGGAAGCGUUUGACACCAGUGUUGUUUUUCUGAAAAUCAAUUAAAGAACUGUUUAUGCUAAGUUGUUUAGACUUUAUCAGCUAUCUGCUUAGUUUUGAGCUUUUCUUUAAUGCACUUUUCAGUUAACAAGUCAACAUCAAUUUCUUUUGCUGUAAAAAAGCUUGAGGAAGGUGGCUUGAGAUUCGUCUUAAGUGUUUAUAGCCUCUUGCCUAUGCAGUCGGGGAGAUUGAGGUCUGCAGCGUAGAUCCUUCGGGGCUAAAUGCAUUUGUGCUAAGUUAUAGCAUUUUAUAGACAACUUGUUGACUAUGAUUUGUCUUGUAGCUUACUCGCUUAUGUUAUUUUACCUACGCUUAGGAUGUUGAAGACUCUACAGAGAUA